GGCUAAAUCCUAGUCUCCCACUGCAGAGUCUUCCAUGUUUAGGAAAAGAAGUUUUUAUUGGGUGUGGUAGCUCACGCCUGUAAUUCCAGGCACUUGGAAGACUGAUGUGGAAGAUUGAAUGGAUUUCAGGCCAGCCUGGGCUACAUAGUUAGGUACAAGCCAGCUUGGGCUACAGAGUAAGACCCCCCCCCCCAACCCCCGACUCCUGCCCCGGGAAUGUCGAAAAACAAACUCCAAAAAAAGAGCUGGGCAUGGUGGCAUGGUGGUGGUGCACAGAUUUAAUCCUAGCAGUUAGGAGGUGGAAGCUGGCGUCUAUCCUCUCAAAAAAAAAAAAAAGAAGAGAGGGAGACAGAGAAAGAGAAAAGUUAAAAGUCUUACCUUUUAUACUUCUUGAAACUAAAAACUGUGGGCCCAACCUUGAAAUAACUCCUACAUCUUAUCACCUGUUUCCAUUUUCUGCCGCCCCUCCCCCCACUGUCCUGCCCCCCCCACACACACACAUUGCCCUCUCCCCACUCUGUCCUGCCUCCCUCCUCUGCUCUGCCUCCCACCCACCCCCAACGCGCGCCCCGCCUCCCCUUUCCAAGCAAGACAAAAUAAAACCAAUCUUCACUCAAAAGAAUGAUGGGAUGGAAAGCUAGCUGGAGGGAAGUGGCCGCUUAUCUCCUGCAGAUCCCCAGCUGAAUGCCAGCGCUGGGGCCCAGUCUGCUGUACACCUGAGAAACGUUGAGCUCGCUUCUCAUGUCCCUGGCUGAGUUGUGGACCGUGGGAAAGAGGGCGCACAAUGGGGGAGUGCUGGCUGCUUAUCUAGAGGAGAAAGGGGAUGUCUCCUGGGGACCUUCCAUGGAGGCUUGGCAACAAUGCGUUGCUCUUGUGUGAUUGCACUGAGAACUUCCCUGCCCGUUGCGUUUUUUUUUUUUUUUUCUCCCCUGAAACAAAAAUCUUAUGUAGACCAGGCUGGCCUAUACCUCUCAAUCCUUCUACUUCUAAAGAAUAUAGGCAUGUGCUACCUCGCACUCCCAACUGUGUGUAAUCAUUAUUAAUUUUGAGACAGGACCUUACUAUGUAGCCUGACUGUCUUGAAACUUGCUAUGUAGACCAAGCGGUCCUUGAACUCACAGAGAUCCACUUGCCUCUGUACCCUAGUGUUGGGAUUAAAGGUGUGCACCACUAUGCCUGGUUCUCUGUACAAUCUUAGCUAAGUAAAAGGCCUGCAUAAAAUAACAGUUAAGUUUGUAGUCCGUAUUUUAUUAUAUUGUUACUGUAGGAUAUGAUACUUUCUAACCAUGAGAAGGUCUCUCUCUCUCUCUCUCUCUCUCUCUCUCUCUCCCUUUGUGGAGGCUAAAGUUAGAUAUCAGUCAGGCAUCUUCCUAUAUUGUUCACACUUGCAUUUUUAAACCAUGGCCUUCCACGCUGGAGUUCCCUAACUGUCUGGAAAGGUUGGUCAGAGAGUCCCUGGGAUCCUCCUGCUCUUAGCAAUGGGAUGACAGGUAUGCUCCAUCAUGCACCUUUUUGAGGUGUAGGGCGGCAAGCCAGGGCUUCGUGAACCCUGGGCAAGCACUCUGCCAGCUAAGCUGUAUCCCAUGCCCUGAAGCUGCACUGUCUGAGAUACCUGGACCAUCACUGCUUUGUCUGUAGAGAUGGCCUUCCCUUGUACUUCUUCCUCCCCUUCAAGGGUUGUGCAACAUCCCUCUAGGAGCCUGUAAAUGCUUGCAUGCCACACAUAAGCACCUGGAUCCAUUAGCUAGCCACAGUCGUCUUUCAUUUCUUCUGAGCUAAAACCUCUCACUGGAUAUUUCGAGGGAAAACGAUGAGACCAUUGGAUUUGAGGAUAUUCUUAAUGCUCCAUCACACUGAUGGGCAAGCCAUACUUGAUGGCAGAAUAUAAGCUGGGCUUGCUGUAACAUCAAGUGUUGGCAGGAGGGACAGUAUUUUUUGUAGUUGCUUCUGCUACAGUCUGAUGUACACAGCAUGAAAGUGCUUAGAAGGAAACUAAAGUUGCUUCUUACUGUUCUCGUCCCUGCUUCCUUGGUGUAAUAUGGUACAUUUUACUGGAGGUGUAGUCUCUUUCUUUCUCUCUUUCCUUCUUUCUUUCUUUCUUUCUUUCUUUCUUUCUUUCUUUCUUUCUUUCUUUCUUUCUUUCUUUCUUUCUUUCUUUCUUUCUUAUUUUUUUAGGUGUCGUCUCUUAGUCCAAUGGGUGAAAUAUUUAAUUCCAGAAAUUUCAUAUACUAUAGUGAGCCAACUAUGUAGAUAUUUUAUCUCAUUCUUAUUACUCCCCCAAGCUCCCUUCCCCGACUCUUGCUGGGGACCAGACUCUGGGUCUUGCACGUCCUAGAGAAGUGCUCAAUACCAGUCACCUAUACACCCAGCUCCUAACUAUACAGUUCUAAAAAGCAAUGUGCCCUUGUAAGAGUUUCAAACUACACCCUAUAGUUUCCAGUCUUGGUAUACUAUUUGUUUGCCAUCUAUCUAUCUUAUUUAUUAGCAGGCUCUUAUACUGUCUGUUGGCUUGCUUGCUUGCUUAUUUAUUUAUUUAUUUAUUUAUUUAUUUAUUUAUUUAUUUAUUUAUUUAUGAGCAGGUUCUCAUUCAGCCCAGGCUGGCCUUUAACUUACCAUGUAGCCCAGGCUGGCCUUUAACUCACCAUGUAGCCCAGGCUGGCCUUUAACUCACUAUGUAGCCCAGGCUGGCCUUUAACUUACCAUGUAGCCCAGGCUGGCCUUUAACUCACUAUGUAGCCCAGGAUGGCCUUUAACUCACUAUGUAGCCCAGGCUGGCCUUUAACUCACUAUGUAGCCAAGGAUGACCCUGACCCCUGAUCCUCUUGUUUCCACCCCUAAAGUGUUAGGACAACAGGUGUGUGCAACACUCCCUGCUUUGCUGUCGGUCGCUCUGGGACAGGGUCUUGCUGUGUAACUUAGGGUGCCCUGGGAUUCUGUCUGCAUACUGGCAGCUUGAAAGCAUGCUCUUUCUCUUGAGAAUGCUGGAAUUACAGACUUAGGGGACCACGCUGGGUUACACUGUUGAUGUUUAUAGUGAAGUUUUGUGCAUGGUAAAUUGUAUCCCUCUGCUGCUGCCACAAAAUGUCUUGGGACAGAGGAGAUGGCUCAGUAAAUAAAGGGGCCUGGGUUCAAUUCUCAGGACCUACAUCCUACAUGGUGCUGGAAGGGAUAACUGAGCCCUGCAGGUUUUCCUCUGAUCUACACACAGACAGACACACAUACAGACACACAGACACACACACACACACACCACCACCACCACUACCACCAUGGCAUGUAUGCAUGCAGCCAAACCCAUAUCCGAAUAAUUAAAUGAAGUUAUUUUUGUUUUGUAUUGUUUUUGCAUUUGUGCUUUCGUAGGAGGCUGCUCACAGCGCUGCUGGACUCUUUAAGCCCUGAGGUCAUGUGAAAAGAAGUUUGCCCUGUGUCCUUCUGUCUCCUGUUGGCUGUCCACAAAAUGGAGAAGGCGGAAGCAACCUGAGGCGUCCUCUUUGUCUGUAAAGAUAGAGAGUCCAUUGUGGAAGGGGGAGAUACAGGAACUAUAUAGGCGAGGCUCUACCGGACUGCAUCUCUUAUCUCCAGAAUUCUUUUACAGAAAAGAAAAAAAUAAACUUUUAUCUGGCUUAAGCCACUACUGUUUCUGGGCUCUGUUACUAGCUGCCAAAUGCAAAUCUUAACUGAUAGAAAAGUCCUUGACGGAGUUUGAGCUGGUGAAUGGAUGCUGCCUGUUCAGUGGCUCUGCAGUGGUGGAUCUGUGGGAGUGGAGCAUCCUGGAGGGUACCAGGAGAUAAAGAUGGCUUGGCAGAUGGGGGCAGACAGUGAGAAUACACCUCACAAGGUGUCACGGACUUUCUUUUCCCCCAGGACACCUCUGCUGAAGUACUGUUAUACAGUGGCUCUUUAAACGUCUAUUGAUGGAGUAAUUUGAAGUCCGCUCCUGUCAGCUGGCCUCAAAGCUGGGCUAUUUAGAAGAUGCGUACUCUUUGUGCCUAAAAAAAAGAGCAGCAGGUAAAGAAUGGAGCGGGAAGGGGUAUCAGCAUUACAGGAAAGUCAAGUGACUCCCUGCAGGCGUCUCCAAGGAAAGGACUUUGUUACACGUGAUUGUCUAAUGAAAAUACAUCAAAGUCUAAUGAAGAUAUCCUUUACUGAGUAGCAACUGUAAAUAAUGUCCCAGAUGUACAUCCUUCUGUAGCUUAUAGCAUGAAUUCAUAUACUACCUAUUUCUAAUUUAUUAUUUUCAUAAUAACUUCAUCAUCGUAAGAUUAGGCAAGACUGUUCCAUUUUACGUUAGAAGGACAUUUACUGUUUAUAUGGAUUAUAAAAAUAUGAACAGACUCCGGUUCUAGCUCAUUCUGUAAUCCAAGUACUUGUGAGCCAGAGGCAGAAAGACAGUUGUGAGUUUAAGGUCAGGUGACUGUGGGUGACAUAGUCCAGGGACCAGGGGGCUGCAGGGUUAGACUUUCCUC
rnacentral:lncRNA from 1 species